rnacentral:rRNA from 1 species
ACAUCCUCUAUCUGUGGUGUGGAACCAGAAGAUGGAUACCACGCGGUCAUGAGAUGUACUAAAGCUAAAGCUUUGCGUGAGAUCAUGCAAGAGAUCUGGACGCUCCCUAAAGACACUGAGCUAACAUGUACGGGACGUGAGUGGGUUCUCCUAACUCUGGCAAAGGCUAACGAGGAGGAGCGGUCACACCUACUCUUCCUCUGGUGGGGAGCAUGGCAUCUCAGAAACAAUAUUAUCUUUGGUGACGGGAAGGCUACAAUAAAGGCAUCAGCAGAGUUCCUACAAAGUUACGCUAGCUCUUUUGCAGCGAUCAAAGCUGGUAUGAGUGUUCCUGACCAUAAAGGAAAAGGAAAAGUUAUGCCAACCAUAUCAACUCCGGAUCCUAAACAGAGAGAAGAGGAUGAUCAUUGGGUGAAACCUAAGUCAGGAUGGCUUAAAUUGAAUGUCGACGCUAGCUUUAUUCAGGAAACAAACUAUGGAGCUUGGGGGGCGGUUCUCCGUGAUACGAAUGGAGCGGUGCGUGGCUCUGCUUGGAGCACAAUUCGUAACUGUGCUAGUGCUGAGGCAGCUGAAGCGGAAGCUUGUCUUCAAGGAAUCUGA